CUUGUAUGUACCUGGUCCUGACCUGACCUGUAUGUACCUGGUCCUAACCUGACCUGUAUGUACCUGGUCCUGACCUGUAUGUACCUGGUCCUGACCUGUAUAUACCUGGUCCUGACCUGUAUGUACCUGGUCCUGACUUGUAUGUACCUGGUCCUGACCUGUAUGUACCUGGUCCUGACCUGUAUGUACCUGGUCCUAACUUGACCUGUAUGUACCUGGUCCUGACCUGUAUGUACCUGGUCCUGACCUAUAUGUACCUGGUCCUGACCUGUAUGUACCUGGUCCUGACCUGUAUGUACCUGGUCCUAACCUGUAUGUACCUGGUCCUGACCUGUAUGUACCUGGUCCUGACCUGUAUGUACCUGGUCCUGACCUGUAUGUACCUGGUCCUGACCUGUAUGUACCUGGUCCUAACCUGUAUGUACCUGGUCCUAACCUGACCUGUAUGUACCUGGUCCUGACCUGUAUGUACCUGGUCCUGGCCUAACCUUGUGUGUGGUUUGCUCUCUCAUGAUUUGGUAAUACAGGACAUUUCCACGACAAAUGACCAGGAAGUGGCUAGUUUAAUGACCAGGUAGUGGCUAGUUUAAUGACCAGGUGGGGGCUAGUUUAAUGACCAGGUGGUGGCUAGUUUAAUGACCAGGUAGUGGCUAGUUUAAUGACCAGGUGGUGGCUAGUUUAAUGACCAAGUAGUGGCUAGUUUAAUGACCAGAUAGUGGCUCGUUUAAUGACCAGGUGGGGGCUAGUUUAAUGACCAGGUAGUGGCUAGUUUAAUGACCAGGUGGGGGCUAGUUUAAUGACCAGGUGGGGGCUAGUUUAAUGACCAGGUAGUGGCUAGUUUAAUGACCAGGUAGUGGCUAGUUUAAUGACCAGGUAGUGGCUAGUUUAAUGACCAGGUAGUGGCUAGUUUAAUGACCAGGUGGGGGCUAGUUUAAUGACCAGGUGGGGGCUAGUUUAAUGAC
ensembl:lncRNA